AGGACGAACGCUGGCGGCGUGCUUAACACAUGCAAGUCGAGCGGAAAGGCCCUUCGGGGUACUCGAGCGGCGAACGGGUGAGUAACACGUGAGCAACCUGCCCUUGGCUCUGGGAUAGCCUCCGGAAAACGGGGAUUAAUACCGGACAUUCACUUUCUCCUGCAUGGGGGGUUGGUGGAAAGUUUUUCGGCCAGGGAGGGGCUCGCGGCCUAUCAGCUUGUUGGCGGGGUAACGGCCCACCAAGGCGACGACGGGUAGCCGGCCUGAGAGGGCGAUCGGCCACACUGGGACUGAGACACGGCCCAGACUCCUACGGGAGGCAGCAGUGGGGAAUAUUGCACAAUGGGCGCAAGCCUGAUGCAGCGACGCCGCGUGGGGGAUGAAGGCCUUCGGGUUGUAAACCCCUUUCACCAGGAGCGAAUUCAGACGGUACCUGGGAAGAAGCGCCGGCUAACUACGCGCCAGCAGCCGC
rnacentral:rRNA from 1 species